rnacentral:lncRNA from 1 species
AUGUCAGUACCUAUGUCUACAGAUCAUACAUCAGUGCUGGUAGAUGGUAACCACAAGCGAUGCCACUACUGUAUCAAGAUUGGUGCCAAGACUAAGAAUGGAUGGGACAUAUUCACCAGAUAUAAAUGCAGGUUGUGUAACAUACCACUUUGUCGUGGAAGUAGGAAGUGUUUUUAUUUGUAUCAUGCAGCUCUGUAUCAUAAAGGUGUUUUUCCCGGUAACCAGGAUGUCUGAUUGUUACAUGCAGCUCUGUAUCAUAAAGGUGUUUCUCCCGGUAAACAGGAUGUCUGAUUGAAUCAUGCAGCUCUGUAUCAUAAAGGUGUUUCUCCCGGUAACCAGGAUGUCUGAUUGUUUCAUGCAGCUCUGUAUCAUAAAGGUGUUUCUCCCGGUAAUCAGGAUGUCUGAGGCAGCAUGCUUUUUCAAAUAUAUAGACUUAAACUUCUGAUGUUUUUUUUUGUAAUUGUGAAAUAUUUGACUGUGUGAGUGAGCAUUAUAAGAAAAAUGUUUCUAACGGAGAAUAUUCCUACUGCAUUUUGAAUAUUGCAAUGUUUUUCAUCCAUUUCGAUUCAUUAGUAGUUUUUGUUUAACCUGCAAGAAACAUAUUUUUCAAGUUCAUGAUCUAUGAUAUAAAUGUUUGAUUGAUGUACAUAUUAUUAGAGACAGUUUCUACUUUAUUUACGUCACGUGAAGCCAUUAUAUGACCGUUGAUAAGAUUAAAUCCGAAUGAAGAAGUUUUUUCCCCAUGCCUAUUACAUUCUUAUUUGUAACAAGAGUAGUUAAAGUGCGUCUGUUUAAUUUCGAAGUGAUAAUGAAAAUGAUGCCAAUUUUUUGAACUUUCCUCAAUCGCAACCAUUGGAUUUAGAACCCACGCCCCUUCCGUUUUGUUUCCUCCCACACUGAAUGUCCAAAACUUAUGUAAUUGAAUUGACGCAGUGACAUAUAUAUUGUUUGUCUUGAAAAUAAAAAAGGACCUACAAAGUUUAGCUAUUAUUCUUAAAAAUAAAGUAGGUGAUGAAUAUCAUUUCUUGUUUGAUUAUACAUUUUUUCCAAAUAAAACGGAAAGAAAAAAAGUAUGUUUACCUUUUAAUCGCAUUACGAACUAUUAU